AUUAGUGGGAAGAGGGUCCACUGAAGAUUUAGUGCUUUUUGAUUUUAGAAAAGCCUUUGAUUCAGUGUCUCAUGAAAUCUGACUGGCAAAAUUAAUUUAAAUUGGCACAGACAGGGACCGUCUCAGGGAUGGGGCUCGGCUGAAAGGCUAUAAACACAGGCGUGAUGAAUGGGAGACGCAGACCAGAGGGGCAAGGGGGCAGGCCCGGGCCUGCUGCUGGGCGAGGUGAGAUCAGCAGAAGCGGAAACCCGAUCACAUCGUCGGUCUCCAUGAAGGUCUUGAGGAACCAUGACUGGCCACCUCUGGGCUCUGUCUAUUUCCCUCCUUGACCGUCGAGGAGAAGUAGACAUUGUGUUGAGAGCAAUCACCAUCACCGUGAUCAACAAACAUACCAAAAGUAUAAAACUUGGAAAGAUGGGAUAACAGAUCAAAAUAAAGGAAACUGGUAAACAAAGUCUCAUCUUUGUACGUCCUCAGGAAAUUGGGAACCUACCAUGUACUGGAAUAACUGCGGGGAACACGGCGAACUAUGUGGCCACUAUCCCUGGAAAGGCAAGACCUACACCUGAAACACAAGAGAAUGCUGAUGAGAAAACCCUUCCUUACCCCACUGGCAUUUGGCUCCUUAUAUAUUUUGAUGCAUGAAGUUAUCCGUAUUGUAAAUGGAUGGAGCCCUUAAAAUUUGUGUCUGCAACUGAGAAUUGCUUGAAAAUUAUCUUCUUCCUAUUGGUUGGGUUAUUAAUUCAUUACUGGGGAGAGGUAGCAAUUUCCAUGUAAGUUGCGACUGGUGGCUUAAUAUGGUCUUCAGAGACGUACCCUCACCUGCAGCUGUGCCUUUGAAGGCAGCUCCAUGCCGAUGCUUAGCACACUGAAGACGUCCCCACAGCUACUUCUGUGGAGACGGCUGCACAGAGCUUAGGAGAAGGUUCUGCGGGCUACCUGAAAAUCAGGACCGCACUCACCUGUACUCUGGGUUGGCAGAAGACCUAAUCGUGGAUCGGUACUCAAGUGCAAAAAGCACUGUUCUGCCUAAUUAAUUCCUCUGCAUUGACAUUUUGUAGCAUUCAUGGAACUUUCUGGCAUGUCCUGGUUCUGUAGAAUGACAACUCUCUUGAAGUCCGGGUGAUUUCUGUUCUUUGAGUGUGAAGUGAAUUUGCAAUUGAGGCAAAAUAAAAUAUAUAGGUGG
rnacentral:lncRNA from 1 species